CUGAAACUUCCAGUCUGAACCAGUUUGUCAUUACAUGUUCAAUGUUAUUUCUGCUUUGACUGAUUGAACUGCUGUAUAAGUCUUGAAGUUUUAAAGCUAGAACAACAGCAACCUUCAUUAUUACAGCACUUGAAUACAGCAGCAGAAUCACGAAGCUGUGAAGCCAAAGAAGCAGAAGUCAAGCUGUCCAUACGUUACAAUCUAUCAUUACAAAUAUUGUGUGUACUUGCUGGAUUUGGAAUGUUGUAGCUAUGCAGAUUUGUUCGGGAAGUUGAAUGAACUUUAUUUGGAGAUUCAAUGUUGUAUAAGAAGCUAAAAUUCCUGGAGAAGCUAAAAUUUUUGUUUCUCAGUUUUUGCAUUGUUCCUAGACCAUAAUUUUUCUCUUCUGGAAAUAAAAUUUAGUAAAAAAAAAAAAUUUCCGGU
rnacentral:lncRNA from 1 species